GAACUGCACAAACGUUAUUCGGAAUCACUGGGCUUAAAGAGUCCGUAGGCGGCCUGGAAGGUGAGGUGUGAAAUCCCACGGCCAACCUGUGGAACUGCGCUUCAAACCGUCAGGCUUGAGGGAGACAGGGUGAGCGGAACAGAUGGUGGAGCGGUGAAAUGCGUUGAUAUCAUCUGGAACACCGGUGGCGAAGGCGGCUCACUGGGUCUCUUCUGACGCUGAGGGACGAAAGCUAGGGGGAGCGAACGGGAUUAGAUACCCCGGUAGUCCUAGCUGCAAACGAUGAGCACUAGAUCGAGGGGACUCCCCCCACAUCCUCUCGGUCGUAGCAAAAGCGUUAAGUGCUCCCGCCUGGGAGUAUGGUCGCAAGGCUG
rnacentral:rRNA from 1 species